CCUACGGGAGGCAGCAGUGAGGAAUAUUGGUCAAUGGACGCAAGUCUGAACCAGCCAUGCCGCGUGCAGGAAGACGGCCCUAUGAGUUGUAAACUGCUUUUGUAUGGGGGUAAACGCAGAUACGCGUAUCUUUCUGAAAGUAUCUUACGAAUAAGGAUCGGCUAACUCCGUGCCAGCAGCCGCGGUAAUACGGAGGAUUCAAGCGUUAUCCGGAUUUAGUGGGUUUAAAGGGUUCGUAGGCGGGCGGAUAAGUUAGAGGUGAAAUCCCGAGGCUCAACUUGGGAAUUGCCGUUGAUACUGGUCGGCUAGAGAGUAGUAGCGGUAGGAGGAAUGUAUGGUGUAGCGGUGAAAUGCUUAGAGAUCAUACAGAACACCGAUUGCGAAGGCAGCUUAC
rnacentral:rRNA from 1 species